AGACAACAGGGAUUGCCUUAGUAACGGCGAGUGAAGCGGCAAUAGCUCAAAUUUGAAAUCUGGCACUUGUGUCCGAGUUGUAAUUUGCAGAAGAUGAUUUUGGUUAGGUACCUUCCGAGUUCCUUGGAACAGGACGCCUUAGAGGGUGAGAGCCCCGUACGGUUGGAUGCCGAGCCUUUGUAAAUCUCUUUCGACGAGUCGAGUAGUUUGGGAAUGCUGCUCUAAAUGGGAGGUAAAUUUCUUCUAAAGCUAAAUACUGGCCAGAGACCGAUAGCGCACAAGUAGAGUGAUCGAAAGAUGAAAAGCACUUUGAAAAGAGGGUUAAAUAGCACGUGAAAUUGUUGAAAGGGAAGGAUUUAUGACCAGACUUUUUCUAGGAGGAUCAUCCGGUGUUCUCACCGGUGCACUUCUUCUAGUCUAGGCCAGCAUCGACUUUCGGCGGCGGAUAAAAGCUUCAGGAAUGUGACUCCCUACGGGGAGUGUUAUAGCCUGUUGUAUAAUACGCUGCUGGGGGUCGAGGUACGCGCUUCUGCAAGGAUGCUGGCGUAAUGGUUAUCAAUCACCCGUCUUGAAACACGGACCAAGGAGUCGAACAUUUGUGCAAGUGUUUGGGUGUUAAACCCUCACGCGUAAUGAAAGUGAACGGAGGUGAGAGCCCUUACGGGUGCAUCAUCGACCGAUCCUGAUGUUUUCGGAUGGAUUUGAGUAAGAGCAUAACUGUUCGGACCCGAAAGAUGGUGAACUAUGCGUGGAUAGGGUGAAGCCAGAGGAAACUCUGGUGGAGGCUCGCAGCGGUUCUGACGUGCAAAUCGAUCGUCAAAUCUGCGCAUGGGGGCGAAAGACUAAUCGAACCAUCUAGUAGCUGGUUACCGCCGAG
rnacentral:rRNA from 1 species